rnacentral:rRNA from 1 species
ACGGUACCUGGAGAAGAAGGACCGGCCAACUACGUGCCAGCAGCCGCGGUAAUACGUAGGGUCCGAGCGUUGUCCGGAAUUACUGGGCGUAAAGAGCUCGUAGGUGGUUUGUCGCGUUGUCCGUGAAAACUCACAACUCAAUUGUGGGCGUGCGGGCGAUACGGGCAGACUGGAGUACUGCAGGGGAGACUGGAAUUCCUGGUGUAGCGGUGGAAUGCGCAGAUAUCAGGAGGAACACCGGUGGCGAAGGCGGGUCUCUGGGCAGUAACUGACGCUGAGGAGCGAAAGCGUGGGGAGCGAACAGGAUUAGAUACCCUGGUAGUCCACGCCGUAAACGGUGGGUACUAGGUGUGGGUUUCCUUCCUUGGGAUCCGUGCCGUAGCUAACGCAUUAAGUACCCCGCCUGGGGAGUACGGCCGCAAGGCUAAAACUCAAAGAAAUUGACGGGGGCCCGCACAAGCGGCGGAGCAUGUGGAUUAAUUCGAUGCAACGCGAAGAACCUUACCUGGGUUUGACAUGCACAGGACGACUGCAGAGAUGUGGUUUCCCUUGUG